rnacentral:pre_miRNA from 1 species
UCUUUGGUUGCGUAGCUUAUUGACAGCCCUCCGUAAUUGAUUCAUAAAGCUAGGCGACUGAAGCA